rnacentral:rRNA from 1 species
GGCAACAGCUCAAAUUUGAAAUCUGGCCUCGUGCCCGAGUUGUAAUUUGCAGAGGAUGCUUUUGGUGCGGCGCCUCCCGAGUUCCCUGGAACGGGACGCCAUAGAGGGUGAGAGCCCCGUACGGCAGGACGCCUAGCCGCUAUAAAGCUCCCUCGACGAGUCGAGUAGUUUGGGAAUGCUGCUCAAAAUGGGAGGUAAAUUCCUUCUAAAGCUAAAUACCGGCCAGAGACCGAUAGCGCACAAGUAGAGUGAUCGAAAGAUGAAAAGCACUUUGAAAAGAGGGUUAAACAGCACGUGAAAUUGUUGAAAGGGAAGCGCCCGUGGCCAGACCUGUGCCCUGGGGAUCAUCCGACGUUCUCGUCGGUGCACUCCGCAGGGCUUCAGGCCAGCAUCGGUUCGCUUAGGGGGAUAAAAGCUUCGGGAACGUAUCUCCUUCGGGAGUGUUAUAGCCCGUUGCAGAAUGCCCUUGAGCGGACCGAGGUUCGCGCUUCCGCAAGGAUGCUGGCGUAAUGGUCACCGGCGGCCCGUCUUGAAACACGGACCAAGGAGUCAAGCAUUGGGGCGAGUGUUUGGGUGUAAAACCCGCACGCGAAAUGAAAGUGAACGGAGGUGAGAGCUUCGGCGCAUCAUCGACCGAUCCUGAUGUUUUCGGAUGGAUUUGAGUAAGAGCCUUACCGCUUGGACCCGAAAGAUGGUGAACUAUGCCUGUGUAGGGUGAAGCCAGAGGAAACUCUGGUGGAGGCUCGCAGCGGUUCUGACGUGCAAAUCGAUCGUCAAACAUGGGCAUGGGGGCGAAAGACUAAUCGAACUAUCUAGUAGCUGGUUACCGCCGAAGUUUCCCUCAGGAUAGCAGUGUUGAUCCCAGUUUUAUGAGGUAAAGCGAAUGAUUAGGGACUCGGGGGCGCUAUUUAGCCUUCAUCCAUUCUCAAACUUUAAAUAUGUAAGAAGCCCUUGUUACUUUGCUGAACGUG